rnacentral:ribozyme from 13 species
UUGUAAAAGUUUUUUUUCUACAGUUGUUGCUUCUGAAAAUUGCUUUUCACCGGUUCUUUCUUUUCUUGUCUUUUCCUUUGUCUGAAAUUUGUCAUCAAAGAGAGGCUGGUCUGAGUUUCUAAGUGUGGAAAAUAAAGUCCAAAGACGCUUAUGUUGCUUCUCCAUUGUAUCUGGUCCAUCUAGAAGAAAAUGGUGGGUGGCAGAAACAAGAAGUGCAGCUUUUUCUUGCAU